rnacentral:misc_RNA from 1 species
CAGUGUUCUCUGCCCUCACGGGUAGGAUCGCCCACCCUUGAAUAUGAUGUUUGUUGCUUUGGCGGGCCACGAGGCCUAGCCGCGCCUCCGCUUCGGUGGGGGAGCGCCCGCCAGAGGACCCCAAACCCUGAAUAUUAGUGUCGUCUGAGUACUAUAAAAUACUUA